UUCCCUUUCACUUCCUACUCUAUUUUGUAAUGAAUUUUGGAUUAAACGAUGAAUGAGGAAAGCCAGAGUUCUAAGAGUUGUGUUAGCACUAAAUUGUUUUCCUAGGUAUUCUUAAUUUGAUGAUUUACAAUUAAUACAGAUUGCUUUACUUUGCCAUAUUCUGCGUUCUGUGUGAGAAAAAGAAGAAGUGUAGCUUGUUAUGUAGAAUGUAUGAAGCUACACAUGUAACUAUCAGUCGGUAGUUACAUGGAUAGUUACAUCGAUAAUUACAUGCAUAGUUACAUAGAUGGAUAGUUACAUGCAUAGUUACAUAGAUAGAUACAUGAAUAGUUACAUUGAUAGUUAGAUAAGUAGCUUAAUGUAGAUACAUAAGUCAUUUACAUAAUAAUAAUUGCAGCGUGUCGCUGCACCACAACGGUAGCGUCCCGCUGCACCGCAAUGGCAACGUCCCGCUGCAUAUUAGAACAUAAAUCUAUUAAAAUCCAUGUAACUAGCAAUGUAACUACCCAGGUAACUAGCAAUCUGUAGUUACAUGGAUAGUUACAUGCAUAGUUACAUAGAUGAAUCGUUACAUAGGCAAGUACACAAGUGUAACAUGCAUGUAACUACCCAGACAACUAUCAAUCUGUAGUUACAUCAAUAGUUACAUGCAUAGUUACAUGCAUAGUUACAUGGAUAGUUACAUGCAUAGGUACAUGGAUAGUUACAUUGAUAGUUACAUAGACAGUUACAUUGAUAAUUACAUGCAUAGUUACAUGGAUAGUUACAUAGAUGGAUAGUUACCUACAUAGAUGAAUAGUUACAUAGACGAAUAGUUACAUUGAUAAUUACAUGCAUAGUUACAUGGAUAGUUACAUACAUAGUUAUAGUUACAUAGAUAGUUACAUGCAUAAUUACAUGUAUAGUUACAUGGAUGGAUAGUUACAAGAUAGUUA
rnacentral:lncRNA from 1 species